AGAGUUUGAUCCUGGCUCAGGACGAACGCUGGCGGCGUGCCUAAUACAUGCAAGUAGAACGCUGAAGGAGGAGCUUGCUUCUCUGGAUGAGUUGCGAACGGGUGAGUAACGCGUAGGUAACCUGCCUGGUAGCGGGGGAUAACUAUUGGAAACGAUAGCUAAUACCGCAUAAUAGUAGAUGUUGCAUGACAUUUGCUUAAAAGGUGCAAUUGCAUCACUACCAGAUGGACCUGCGUUGUAUUAGCUAGUUGGUGGGGUAACGGCUCACCAAGGCGACGAUACAUAGCCGACCUGAGAGGGUGAUCGGCCACACUGGGACUGAGACACGGCCCAGACUCCUACGGGAGGCAGCAGUAGGGAAUCUUCGGCAAUGGACGGAAGUCUGACCGAGCAACGCCGCGUGAGUGAAGAAGGUUUUCGGAUCGUAAAGCUCUGUUGUAAGAGAAGAACGAGUGUGAGAGUGGAAAGUUCACACUGUGACGGUAUCUUACCAGAAAGGGACGGCUAACUACGUGCCAGCAGCCGCGGUAAUACGUAGGUCCCGAGCGUUGUCCGGAUUUAUUGGGCGUAAAGCGAGCGCAGGCGGUUAGAUAAGUCCGAAGUUAAAGGCUGUGGCUUAACCAUAGUACGCUUUGGAAACUGUUUAACUUGAGUGCAAGAGGGGAGAGUGGAAUUCCAUGUGUAGCGGUGAAAUGCGUAGAUAUAUGGAGGAACACCGGUGGCGAAAGCGGCUCUCUGGCUUGUAACUGACGCUGAGGCUCGAAAGCGUGGGGAGCAAACAAGAUUAGAUACCCUGGUAGUCCACGCCGUAAAC
rnacentral:rRNA from 1 species